rnacentral:rRNA from 1 species
AUUGAACGCUGGCGGCAUGCCUUACACAUGCAAGUCGAACGGCAGCACGGGAGCAAUCCUGGUGGCGAGUGGCGAACGGGUGAGUAAUAUAUCGGAAUGUGCCUAGUCGUGGGGGAUAACGCACGGAAAGGGGCGCUAAUACCGCAUACGAUCUACGGGUGAAAGCGGGGGACCGGCAGACCUUGCUCGAUCGGAGGGGCCGAGAUCGGAUUAGCUAGUUGGUGGGGUAAAGGCUAACCAAGGCGACGAUCUGUAGCUGGUCUGAGAGGACGACCAGCCACACUGGAACUGAGACACGGUCCAGACUCCUACGGGAGGCAGCAGUGGGGAAUUUUGGACAAUGGGCGCAAGCCUGAUCCAGCAAUGCCGCGUGCAGGAAGAAGGCCUUCGGGUUGUAAACUGCUUUUAUACGGGACGAAACGGCGAACUUUAAUACUUUUUGCUAAUGACGGUACCGUAAGAAUAAGCACCGGCUAACUACGUGCCAGCAGCCGCGGUAACAC